UCCGUAGGCGGGCUAAUAAGUCAGGGGUGAAAUCCAACAGCUUAACUGUUGAACUGCUUUUGAUACUGUUAGUCUUGAAUUAUAUGGAAGUAGAUAGAAUGUGUAGUGUAGCGGUGAAAUGCUUAGAGAUUACACAGAAUACCGAUUGCGAAGGCAGUCUACUACAUAAAUAUUGACGCUAAUGGACGAAAGCGUGGGGAGCGAACAGGAUUAGAUACCCUGGUAGUCC
rnacentral:rRNA from 1 species